CGAUUACCACGGAGUGAUUCAUGACUGGGGUGAAGUCGUAACAAGGUAGCCCUAGGGGAACCUGGGGCUGGAUCACCUCCUUA
rnacentral:rRNA from 1 species